rnacentral:tmRNA from 1 species
GGGGGUGAACUGGAUUCGACCGGGCCCUGAAGGAUGUUGCCGCGUGUCGUGGUUGGUCAGCAGGCCACGUAAAAAGCCGACUAAAAAAUCAAUUGCCAAUAACCAAAUGGCUAUGGCCGCCUAAGAAAAGGCAGCCCUGGUCCUAGAGCCUUCGCCGAAGAGGCGCUUGCGACCGGUCAUCCAAUUUCGGAUCGCGUCCCGUCACGCCGAACACGCGGGACGUUAAAAAACGUUUUCGGACCGUCCAAGAAGAAUCGCUGCCGAUUUCGAGUCUUCGCGGAUUAAAUCCAAACAGAUCGGACACACACGUAGACGCGCAUUUGGAUCGGUUUCGGGACGCGGGUUCAAUUCCCGCCACCUCCA